rnacentral:piRNA from 1 species
UCGAUUUUAUUUAUCGAUUCC